rnacentral:rRNA from 1 species
GAUUGAACGCUGGCGGCCAGGCCUAACACAUGCAAGUCGAGCGGUAACAUAUAGAAAGCUUGCUUUCUUUGCUGACGAGCGGCGGACGGGUGAGUAAUGCCUGGGAAUAUGCCUUGAUGUGGGGGAUAACCAUUGGAAACGAUGGCUAAUACCGCAUAAUGCCUACGGGCCAAAGAGGGGGAUCUUCGGACCUCUCGCGUCAAGAUUAGCCCAGGUGGGAUUAGCUAGUUGGUGAGGUAAUGGCUCACCAAGGCGACGAUCCCUAGCUGGUCUGAGAGGAUGAUCAGCCACACUGGAACUGAGACACGGUCCAGACUCCUACGGGAGGCAGCAGUGGGGAAUAUUGCACAAUGGGCGCAAGCCUGAUGCAGCCAUGCCGCGUGUGUGAAGAAGGCCUUCGGGUUGUAAAGCACUUUCAGUCGUGAGGAAGGUAGUUGCGUUAAUAGCGUAAUUAUUUGACGUUAGCGACAGAAGAAGCACCGGCUAACUCCGUGCCAGCAGCCGCGGUAAUACGGAGGGUGCGAGCGUUAAUCGGAAUUACUGGGCGUAAAGCGCAUGCAGGUGGUUUGUUAAGUCAGAUGUGAAAGCCCGGGGCUCAACCUCGGAAUUGCAUUUGAAACUGGCAGACUAGAGUACUGUAGAGGGGGGUAGAAUUUCAGGUGUAGCGGUGAAAUGCGUAGAGAUCUGAAGGAAUACCGGUGGCGAAGGCGGCCCCCUGGACAGAUACUGACACUCAGAUGCGAAAGCGUGGGGAGCAAACAGGAUUAGAUACCCUGGUAGUCCACGCCGUAAACGAUGUCUACUUGGAGGUUGUGGCCUUGAGCCGUGGCUUUCGGAGCUAACGCGUUAAGUAGACCGCCUGGGGAGUACGGUCGCAAGAUUAAAACUCAAAUGAAUUGACGGGGGCCCGCACAAGCGGUGGAGCAUGUGGUUUAAUUCGAUGCAACGCGAAGAACCUUACCUACUCUUGACAUCCAGAGAAGCCAGCGGAGACGCAGGUGUGCCUUCGGGAACUCUGAGACAGGUGCUGCAUGGCUGUCGUCAGCUCGUGUUGUGAAAUGUUGGGUUAAGUCCCGCAACGAGCGCAACCCUUAUCCUUGUUUGCCAGCGAGUAAUGUCGGGAACUCCAGGGAGACUGCCGGUGAUAAACCGGAGGAAGGUGGGGACGACGUCAAGUCAUCAUGGCCCUUACGAGUAGGGCUACACACGUGCUACAAUGGCGCAUACAGAGGGCUGCCAACCAGCGAUGGUGAGCGAAUCCCAAAAAGUGCGUCGUAGUCCGGAUUGGAGUCUGCAACUCGACUCCAUGAAGUCGGAAUCGCUAGUAAUCGUGGAUCAGAAUGCCACGGUGAAUACGUUCCCGGGCCUUGUACACACCGCCCGUCACACCAUGGGAGUGGGCUGCAAAAGAAGUGGGUAGUUUAACCUUUCGAGGA